rnacentral:rRNA from 1 species
GUGUCAGCAGCCGCGGUAAUACGUAGGGUGCAAGCGUUGUCCGGAAUUAUUGGGCGUAAAGAGCUCGUAGGCGGUUUGUCGCGUCUGCUGUGAAAUCCCGAGUCUCAACCUCGGGCUUGCAGUGGGUACGGGCAGACUAGAGUGCGGUAGGGGAGAUUGGAAUUCCUGGUGUAGCGGUGGAAUGCGCAGAUAUCAGGAGGAACACCGAUGGCGAAGGCAGAUCUCUGGGCCGUAACUGACGCUGAGGAGCGAAAGCGUGGGGAGCGAACAGGAUUAGAAACCCCCGUAGUCC